AAUGAACGUUGGCGGCGUGGAUUAGGCAUGCGAGUCGUGCGAGAACCGUAGCAAUACGGGGACAGCGGCGAAAGGGAGAGGAACACGUGGAUACCUACCCUCAGGUUCAGGAUAGCUAUGGGAAACUAUAGGUAAUACUGAAUAAUAUCUCCGGAUCAAAGGUGUGAUUCCGCCGGAGGAGGGGUCCGCGUCCUAUUAGCUAGUUGGUGAGGUAAUGGCUCACCAAGGCGAAGAUGGGUACGGGAUGUGAGAGCAUGAUCCCGCUCAUUGGGACUGAGACACUGCCCAGACACCUACGGGUGGCUGCAGUCGAGAAUCUUCGGCAAAUGGGGGAAACCCUGACCGAGCGACGCCGCGUGUGAGAUGAAGGCCUUCGGGUUGUAAAUCACUGUCGUAGAGGAGGAAGUGUAGGUGGGUUCUCCCACUUAUUUGACCUAUUCUAGGAGGAAGGACGGGCUAAGUUCGUGCCGAGC
rnacentral:rRNA from 1 species